UACGUAGGGUGCAAGCGUUGUCCGGAAUUAUUGGGCGUAAAGAGCGUGUAGGCGGCUUUACAGGUCCGUUGUGAAAACUCGAGGCUCAACCUCGAGACGCCGGUGGAAACCGUAAAGCUAGAGUCCGGAAGAGGAGAGUGGAAUUCCUGGUGUAGCGGUGAAAUGCGCAGAUAUCAGGAGGAACACCAAUUGCGAAGGCAGCUCGCUGGGACGUAACUGACGCUGAGACGCGAAAGCGUGGGGAGCAAACAGG
rnacentral:rRNA from 1 species